rnacentral:rRNA from 1 species
GAUGAACGCUGGCGGCGUGCCUAACACAUGCAAGUCGAGCGAGGGUUUGCUCAGUAUUGAGUAUUCUAAAACUAGAAUGUUCAAUUCUGAGCAAAACCAAGCGGCGGACGGGUGAGUAACGCGUGGGUAACCUGCCCUAUACACAUGGAUAACAUACUGAAAAGUUUACUAAUACAUGAUAAUAUAUAUUUGUGGCAUCGCAGAUAUAUCAAAGUGUUAGCGGUAUAGGAUGGACCCGCGUCUGAUUAGCUAGUUGGUGAGAUAACUGCCCACCAAGGCGACGAUCAGUAGCCGACCUGAGAGGGUGAUCGGCCACAUUGGAACUGAGACACGGUCCAAACUCCUACGGGAGGCAGCAGUGGGGAAUAUUGCACAAUGGGCGAAAGCCUGAUGCAGCAACGCCGCGUGAACGAUGAAGGUCUUCGGAUCGUAAAGUUCUGUUGCAGGGGAAGAUAAUGACGGUCCC